CAGAGGCCUGGAGAUGACGCAUAUGUUUGCAACAGGGGAUCUCAGGAGGAGAGGCCCUGCAGGCACCUGGCUACCUGGGCCUGAAGAGGAGCAGGGGAGAUGAGUUUUGUGGGAGUUGACAGCGGCCAGGUGCGGUGGCUCAAUUUCCUGACCUGCUCCAUGGAAGGUGACCUAAUGGUGGUGACUGCGGGAGGAGCAGCAGCAAUAGCAGGAGUGGUACUCAAGUUCUGGAUGGCUAUCAUAAUGGAAAUAAAUCUUAGUCCACACACUCUUCAUUAACCUGUGCUACGGGCAUCUAGUGGAUACGGGUCAGGGAAGCUGCUAAACACCCUACGAUGCACAGAACAGCCCCUUCAACAGAGAUUCAUUCAUCUGGCCCAAAAUGUCAGUAGUGCUGAGAUUGAGAAAUCCUGCUGCAGUAGUUAAGAACAAGACUCUGGAAACAAACAGGCAAGUUACUUCACCUCUCUGCUUCAGCUUCCUCAUCUGUAAAGACAAGAACUUAGGACUGCAGGACAAGAACUCGAGACCCACACAAUGGGCCUCUGAGCAAGUUCCUGUGCCUGUUUCUUUCAACGAGGAUAACUACUUCCACCUGCCUUUGUAAUUUGUUCCUGGGACAAAGAAAGCCUCUUGAGGAGGCUGGCCUGCCCUGCAUAUGUUGGAUAAACGCUUGAAAUAUGGACCUGUCCCCAUCUCUCGCCUUUCCCCGGAAUUCAGGACUGAAUGGAUGCUGCCUGCAUUUUGGGGAGUGGGAGUUUUGCUUUUCCUUUGCUUUGCUACUUACUCACUCUGAUGAACAAGGAGGAGACUGACAGCUUCACAGUCCUGGAUCAUUUCCUGCCCUGUUCUCCCAUCCAGCUCAUGGAAGUCAGCAACUCCAUCCACUCAUUGCACAGAGACCAGAAAGGGGAAGGGAUUUUCUCACUGUCUCACAGCAACUAAUGGCCAAGCUGUGGUGGGCGUCUUGGUGGUCUGAUUCCAAUUCAAGUUGGAGUGAGAGAGUGAGAAGAUUAUGGGCUGUGGCCUCAAGCCAACCAGGGUCUAAACCCAGCAUUGCCUCUGGCUUACUUGUGUCUCCUCUGCUUCCUCAUUCUUAGAAUGGAAAUCAUCAUCAUCAUCUCAUAGAAGUGUUAUGGGCAACAGACAGGAUAAUGUACAUGAAGCUCAUACAGCCUUAGGAUUAAAACCAGUGAAGACCCAAACGACUGUACCUGGGAAUUUAAGAUAAACAGGGUGUGUUACUGCCUGGCACAAACUGGGAAUUUGUGCAAAGGUAAGAUACCAAGCAGGACAGUAUUUCUCCUUGAGGGACCGUGAAAUCUUCUCAUCAUUUAAGCUUAUGAAACGAGGUGGAGCCUCAUUUCUUAAAGGGGGAAAUGCAAAUCAAAACUACCUGGGUAUCAUAUGAAAUUAUACCUUGAUAAAGCUGAUUUUUAAAACAUUACCCUGAGAAUUGUAAAGAUCAACAGUCCUGAUAACAAGCCAGGCAUCGUGGCUCAUGCCUGUAGUUCCAACUACUUGAGAGGCUGAGGUGGGAGGAUUGCUGGAGCCCAGGAGUUUGAGGCCAGCCUGGGCAGCAUAGCAAGACCCUCUUAAAAAAAUAAAAUCCUGGCCAGGCGCGGUGGCUCAUGCCUGUAAUCCCAGCACUUUGGGAGGCCGAGGUGGGCAGAUCACGAGGUCAGGAGAUCGAGACAAUCCUGGCUAACACGGUGAAAUCCCGUCUCUACUAAAAAUACAAAAAAUUAGCCGGGCAUAGUGGCAGGCACCUGUAGUCCCAGCUACUCGGGAGGCCGAGGCAGGAGAAUGGUGUGAACCCAGGAGGCGGAGCUUGCAGUGAGCCAAAAUCGCGCCACUGCACUCCAGCCUGGGUGACAGAGCGAGACUCCGUCUCAAAAAAAAAAAAAAAAUCCUGGCCAGUGGCUCACACCUGUAAUCCCAGCACUUUGGGAGGCCAAGGCAGGAGGAUCACUUGAGGCCAGGAGUUCGAGACUAGUCUGGGUAACAUAGUAAGACCCCCUUCUCUACAAAAAAAAAAAAAUAAUAAUAAAUUAGCAGCCGGGCACAGUGGCUUACACCUGUAAUCCCAGCACUUUGGGAGGUCGAGGCAGGUGGAUCACGAGGUCAGGAGAUGGAGACCAUCAUGGCUAACACGGUGAAAGCCCGUCUCUACUAAAAAUACAAAAAAUUAGCCGGGUGUGGUGGCGGGUGCCUGUAGUUCCAGCUACUCGGGAGGCUGAGGCGGGAGAACGGCGUGAACCCGAGAGGCGGAGCUUGCAGUGAGCCGAGAUCGCGCCACUGCACUCCAUCCUGACUCCAGCGAGACUCUGUCUCAAAAAAAAAAAAAAAAAAAUCUGCCAGCCACGGUGGUGUGUGCCUGUUUUCCCAGCUACUUGGGAGGCUAAGGCAGGAGGAUUACCUGAGCCCAGGUGGUCGAGGCUACAGUGAGCUAUGAUCCCACUCCAGCCUGGGUGACAGAGUAAGACCUCAUCUCAAAAAAAAAAGAAAAAUAAUCCUGAUAACAGAUGGUUAUCAAAGGGCAUAGGGAAGCGGAGGUAUCCAGUGGUGCAAGCUCUGUGGAAAGCAAUUUGGCAAGAUUCAUCAAAAUUAGUAACAUACAUGCCAGUGGGUCCAGCACCGCGGUAUUGCACCAGUGGUAGACAGCUGUGGACUGCUGGCCCUCAGGUGCGGCGACCACACCAAAUUCAAUCAGCUGUGGCCAGGAGCAUGGGGCAGGGGCAAUUUCACUUAAAACAGGAUAGGAUUAGCCAGUCUUGGUGGCAUGUGCCUGUAGUCCCAGCUACUCGGGAGGCUGAGAUGGGAAGGAUCACUUGAGUCUGGGAGGCAGAGGUUGCAGUGAGCGGAGACUGUGCCACUGCACUCCAGCUGGGGCGACAGAGUGAGACUCCAUCUCAAAAACAAAAUAAAAUAAAAGGUAUAAAUGACAUCCAAUAAACUUCACAUAUUUAAGCUGUAGUAUAAGUCUUGUGUUUCAUGUAAUCCCAUGAAACCAUCAUCAGAGUCACAAUAAUGAACUUAUCUAUCACCUUUACAUUUACCUGGAGCCUUUUAUAAAGUCUUUCUCUCUGCCUUCCAGAUAACCACUGAUUUACUUUGCUGUACAAUAGAGUAAUUUCCACUUUCUGGAAUUUUUGGACUGAUGUAAUAAAGUGUUUCCUCUUAUAAUCCCUGGGUGCUCUGUCAUCAUGCUUAUUUUGAUAUUAUCAGUGUAGACAUAUGAAUUGUUCAUUCUUUUUACAUUGCUGAUAAAUACACUCUGCUGUAAAAUGUCAUUGUAUAUU
rnacentral:lncRNA from 10 species